AUGAGUGGAAAGGUGACCAAGCCCAAAGAGGAGAAAGAUGCUUCUAAGGUUCUGGAUGACGCCCCCCCUGGCACACAGGAAUACAUUAUGUUACGGCAAGAUUCCAUCCAAUCUGCGGAAUUAAAGAAAAAAGAGUCCCCCUUUCGUGCUAAGUGUCACGAAAUCUUCUGCUGCCCGCUGAAGCAAGUACACCACAAAGAAAACACAGAGCCCGAAGAGCCACAACUUAAGGGUAUAGUCACCAAACUCUACAGCCGACAAGGCUACCACUUGCAGCUGCAAGCAGAUGGAACCAUUGAUGGCACAAAAGACGAGGACAGCACUUACACCCUAUUUAACCUCAUCCCUGUGGGUCUUCGAGUGGUGGCCAUCCAAGGAGUUCAGACCAAGCUGUAUUUGGCAAUGAACAGCGAGGGAUACCUGUACACCUCGGAACAUUUUACACCUGAGUGCAAAUUCAAAGAAUCAGUGUUUGAAAAUUAUUACGUGACGUAUUCAUCGAUGAUAUACCGCCAGCAGCAGUCCGGCCGAGGGUGGUAUCUGGGUCUGAACAAGGAAGGGGAGAUCAUGAAAGGAAACCAUGUGAAGAAAAACAAGCCUGCAGCUCACUUUCUGCCCAAACCACUCAAAGUGGCCAUGUACAAGGAGCCGUCAUUGCACGACCUGACCGAGUUCUCCCGAUCUGGAAGCGGGACCCCUACGAAGAGUAGAAGUGUCUCCGGCGUGCUGAACGGAGGCAAAUCCAUGAGCCACAACGAAUCAACGUAGCCAGUGAGGGCAAGACAAGGGCUCUGUAACAGAACCUUACCUCCAGGUGCUGUUGAAUUCUAGCAGUCCUUCACCCAAAAGUUCACAGUUGUCAAUGACGUUUACCAAACAAACAGGCAGAGUGCACUAGUCUCUCUGCCACUAAAACCUUCCUAUCAUCCAUACUAACGCCCCAUAAUUUCAAUUGAGCUUGUGCAGCAGACUGCCAAGCGCCAUCAGUGGUGAACUAAAUCCUGGAGAAGGACUGCCCAAUUUCUCAUGAUCUCACCUGUGCUUUGGGGAUGGCAAGCCAAAAACAUUUCACAGCACUAAUGCCGAUAAAAAUUUGCUCUCCAACCAAGAAAAUUUAAAAGACCACAAUUGCUCUUCAAAAACUAAACUAAACUAAACUAAAACAAAAUUAACUGCUUAAAUGUUUUGUAGGGGCAAACAAAAUUAUGUGACUU
rnacentral:lncRNA from 12 species